CGAGAUUAGCUUGCUUAAGUUGUCAGCUAAGUGGCGCACGGGUGAGUAAUGUAUAGGUAAUAUGCCUCUUACUAAGGGAUAACAAUUGGAAACGAUUGCUAAUACCUUAUAUGCCUUUAAGACUUAAGUCUGCAAGGGAAAGAUUUAUUGGUAAGAGAUUAGCCUGUAUUGUAUCAGUUAGUUGGUGGGGUAAUGGCCUACCAAGACAAUGACGCAUAACUGGUUUGAGAGGAUGAUCAGUCACACUGGAACUGAGACACGGUCCAGACUCCUACGGGAGGCAGCAGUGGGGAAUAUUGCACAAUGGGGGAAACCCUGAUGCAGCAACGCCGCGUGGAGGAUGACACAUUUCGGUGCGUAAACUCCUUUUAUAUAGGAAGAUAAUGACGGUACUAUAUGAAUAAGCACCGGCUAACUCCGUGCCAGCAGCCGCGGUAAUACGGAGGGUGCAAGCGUUACUCGGAAUCACUGGGCGUAAAGAGCGUGUAGGCGGGUAUAUAAGUCAGAAGUGAAAUCCAAUAGCUCAACUAUUGAACUGCUUUUGAAACUGUAUACCUAGAAUGUGGGAGAGGUAGAUGGAA
rnacentral:rRNA from 1 species